UAGAGUUUGAUCCUGGCUCAGAUUGAACGCUGGCGGCAUGCUUUACACAUGCAAGUCGAACGGCAGCGCGGGGCAACCUGGCGGCGAGUGGCGAACGGGUGAGUAAUAUAUCGGAACGUACCCAGAAGUGGGGGAUAACGUAGCGAAAGUUACGCUAAUACCGCAUACGAUCUACGGAUGAAAGUGGGGGACCUUCGGGCCUCAUGCUUUUGGAGCGGCCGAUAUCUGAUUAGCUAGUUGGUGAGGUAAAGGCUCACCAAGGCGACGAUCAGUAGCUGGUCUGAGAGGACGACCAGCCACACUGGGACUGAGACACGGCCCAGACUCCUACGGGAGGCAGCAGUGGGGAAUUUUGGACAAUGGGGGCAACCCUGAUCCAGCAAUGCCGCGUGAGUGAAGAAGGCCUUCGGGUUGUAAAGCUCUUUUGUCAGGGAAGAAAAGGGAGUGGCUAAUAUCCAUUCCUGCUGACGGUACCUGAAGAAUAAGCACCGGCUAACUACGUGCCAGCAGCCGCGGUAAUACGUAGGGUGCAAGCGUUAAUCGGAAUUACUGGGCGUAAAGCGUGCGCAGGCGGUUUCGUAAGUCUGUCGUGAAAUCCCCGGGCUUAACCUGGGAAUGGCGAUGGAGACUGCGAGGCUAGAGUUUGGCAGAGGGGGGUAGAAUUCCACGUGUAGCAGUGAAAUGCGUAGAGAUGUGGAGGAACACCGAUGGCGAAGGCAGCCCCCUGGGUCAAAACUGA
rnacentral:rRNA from 1 species